UCCAGAAUCGAGUCAAGGGAUUCUAGGGUUCAUAUAAAAGGUAGAGAAUUGGGGUGAAUCAAAUUUUAUCGGGUUUUUCUCUCACUUUACCCUCAUUAGCUGAAAGUCGAUCGACGCUUUCCGGUGAAAGUGAAAACGCGAGGUGAGAUUUCCUUCUUCUUCGUCUUCUUCUCAAUUGUGUUUUCUUUUGUCACACGUUUACCUGCUUUGCAUGGAAGACGAUCGCAGCCGAUAGCCAUCUGAAAACCGAUGCUUUAUUCAAGGGUUUGCCUCUUAGGUUUCUAUUUCACUGUGUAAGGUUUACACAUUUGGCUUAGAUGAUUGACUGCCGAGGGUAGUGCAAAAUCCAUCUGAAGUCAGCGGUUUCUUUGCUCUCGAUUUGCCCUAUUCCUCUAAGACGGAAACUUUGCCAUUGAAGUGUCCAACCAAUUCCCUCCAAAAAAAAAAGGAAGAUUCAAGACUCCACAAGACCAGCAAGUUCUAUGUAAUAGCUAAAGGAGGUUCUGCAUCAAAUAAGUCAUUUCUUUUUUUGUUUAAUGAUUUUUUUGACUUUUAUCCUUUAAAAUUCUACUAAUCACAGCCAUUUAUAUUAUGUUUGUGUAGGAUUUGGAAAUUUCUCAGUUCUACUUCCUUUCAUUGUCUGUCGUUGUUGAUAUUGAUAGGUUUUCAGCAUUUGGGUUUUGCAUGAUAGUUGUUUAGGUUCCAUGUUUUAGAUUCCUUGUUAAUGGAUUGAUUCAUGAAGUAGCCGUGGCAGGUAUUUUUUAUUCCAAUAUAUAUUUCUAGAAAUAGAAAUGGUUUGUGUAUAAAUUUGUGAAAUGUCUUCCUAUUUUGUCAAGACUUUUAAGAGAAGUGUCUUUUAAAGAUAUCAGAUUUUACAGCUUCCCAUGAUGUUGCUGCAUAGUUCAGAUAACAAGAAUAGUUUUUUUUUUUUUCUUUGUUUAUCAAUGAAGGGAAUAGUCAUUAGAAAGAGAAGAUGGCUUCUGAAGAAGACAGCAGCACCUAAUGGACAUCUGCUCCAUUAAAAUGUCCAUAAUCUAUGGGUCUCUGCUGUAGUAGCGGCAGCAGUGGCAGUUAAAACAGAACAUCCAUGUGGUGCUACUGGAAGAUUCGCUUGAGCCUAAGAUCAACAUAGUUGUUUUCAUUAUUAUGGCCCAUUCUUUAGAUACCCAAACCAAAGUCAAAAGCUCAUGUUUCUAAGAGUUGGAAGUCAAUCCUAAAUCCUCUUGUAUUUCCACCAAUUUAGAAUAUUAGGCUUAGUUUUUUAUUUUUUUACUCCAGUUAUUUACCAAAUUCAAGUGUAUAAAUAGGUGCUCUGGCUGGAACCAGAAAUGAAUUCCUAUAGUGAAAUUUUGUUCGUCCAAGUUUUCUAUUUGAUCUUUCUACUUUUUCGUAGUGUUUUCAUUACUUUCCUUUCAAAUCCUGAAUUGACAUAUGUAAAGUUGUCAUUGCUGAUUAGAAUAUUCAAUUAUUAUUCACUUCACUGUUUUUUUAUGAUUGAAUGUGAUCAUAUUAUGUCCAUUAGUUCCUCGUAAUUAUGUAAACAAUUGCUUUACUUUUCCUCAACUGGAACCCCACCAUCACAACUUAUACAAGCUUUUAAGAAACUCAUUAUGAUGAAGACUGGUUUUCUUUUCUUAUUCUGUUGUUUUUUGAGUUUUCAUUUUCAAUCUCCAUCUAUUUUUUUUCAAUCAAUUGAUCAGAGAUGUCCAUCAGUUAAACUUCUUCUUAUAUAGCCAGCGGUAAUACAGUAUUGACCCCCUUUUCUCUAUUAAAUUGAUUUCAGAUAUGAUUGGUGAUAUAAAUCAGUAUUAUAGUAUUAUUGGGGAUUCCUUACUUUAAAUUUGGGAGUUAAUUAACUCUAGUAAUUGCUGGUUAUAAUGUUCUAUCGAUUUCUCAGGCCACGUUUAUUCUAUUUUGCUAUCGGGUACUGCUGUUUGGUGCUCAAUGGAAUGGUCUAACUUUUUUAGUCCUCUGGACUUAGUAAUUCUGUCGAAUGAAUACAGGCAACCGUUGUUUGCAGCCACUGGUGGAGACACUUUAAUUUCCUGAGAAAAGGUGAACUUGAGCCUCGAUUAGGAAGAAAAAAUACCCAUUUGCAGUAAAACUUCGAGUAGCCCAUAUGAAGACUUCUAAUUAAACGUGUAAUUUUUUUUUUUUUAGGUCAUGAAAUGCGAGGUAGUACUUAGUAUGGUAUGAUAUAUUAUAAGUUUAGGGCCUUGAGGUUUCGGAUAUUAAUUUAUCAUGUUAUUCAAUGGCUUUAUCAACCUUGAUCGAUUGUUAAUUUCUAAUGUUAGAAAAUAUUCACUUGUUAGCAGACUCUUCAUAAAUCCCUUCUUUGAUGGCUGAUA